rnacentral:rRNA from 1 species
AUUGAACGCUGGCGGCAUGCUUUACACAUGCAAGUCGAACGGUAACAGGCCGCAAGGUGCUCACGAGUGGCGAACGGGUGAGGAAUGCAUCGGAACGGGCCAAGUCGUUGGGGAUAACUACUCGAAAGAGUAACUAAUACCGCAUACGAUCUAUGGAUUAAAGCGGGGGACCGUAAAGCCUCGAGCGAUUGUAGCGGCCGAUGUCAGAUUAGGUAGUUGGUAGGGUAAAGGCUCACCAAGCCAACGAUCAGUAGCUGGUCUGAGAGGACGACCAGCCACACUGGGACUGAGACACGGCCCAGACUCCUACGGGAGGCAGCAGUGGGGAAUUUUCGACAAUGGGCGCAAGCCUGAUCGAGCAAUGCCGCGUGCAGGAAGAAGGCCUUCGGGUUGUAAACUGCUUUUGUACGGGAAGAAAAGGCUUUGGUUAAUCCCCGGAGAUCAUGACGGUACCGAAAGAAUAAGCCCCGGCUAACUACGUG